rnacentral:rRNA from 1 species
GAUGAACGCUGGCGGUAUGCUUUACACAUGCAAGUCGUACGGGAGUUUUUAACUCACGUGGGGUACGGUUGCGUAACACGUGUGCAACCUGCCUUUAUCUGGGGGCUAGCCUUGCGAAAGGAAGAUUAAUACUCCAUACUAUAUUGAACGGCAUCGUUUAAUAUUGAAAGCUCCGGCGGAUAGAGAUGGGCAAGCGCAAGAGUAGCUAGUUGGUGAGGUAACGGCUCACCAAGGCGAUGAUCUUUAGGGGGCCUGAGAGGGGGAGCCCCCACACGGGUACUGAGACACGGACCAGACUCCUACGGGAGGCAGCAGUGAGGAAUAUUGGUCAAUGGGUGCAAGCCUGAACCAGCCAUCCCGCGUGAAGGACGACUGCCCGAUGGGUUGUAAACUUCUUUUGUAUAGGGAUAAACCUACCCUCGAGAGGGUAGCUGAAGGUACUAUACGAAUAAGCACCGGCUAACUCCGUGCCAGCAGCCGCCGUAAUAC